rnacentral:rRNA from 1 species
UACGGAGGAUCCAAGCGUUAUCCGGAAUCAUUGGGCUUAAAGGGUCCGUAGGCGGUUUUGUAAGUCAGUGGUGAAAGCCCAUCGCUCAACGGUGGAACGGCCAUUGAUACUGCAAGACUUGAAUUAUUAGGAAGUAACUAGAAUAUGUAGUGUAGCGGUGAAAUGCUUAGAGAUUACAUGGAAUACCAAUUGCGAAGGCAGGUUACUGCUAGUGGAUUGACGCUGAUGGACGAAAGCGUGGGGAGCGAACAGG